AAGAUAGAUCGCCAUCAUGAACGACACCGUAACUAUCCGCACUAGAAAGUUCAUGACCAACCGACUACUUCAGAGGAAACAAAUGGUCAUUGAUGUCCUUCACCCCGGGAAGGCAACAGUGCCUAAGACAGAAAUUCGGGAAAAACUAGCCAAAAUGUACAAGACCACACCGGAUGUCAUCUUUGUAUUUGGAUUCAGAACUCAUUUUGGUGGUGGCAAGACAACUGGCUUUGGCAUGAUUUAUGAUUCCCUGGAUUAUGCAAAGAAAAAUGAACCCAAACAUAGACUUGCAAGAGUAGGUGUCUUUUCAUUUGUUGAUCAGCUCCUGAAGACUAUAUUUUCAAUAGCGUUGUGUUGUGAGUGUGGUAAAAAGGGCAAGACCAAGCAAUCUGGGAGACAACUCUGAAGGGAUUAAGAGAAAAAGUUAUUUCAUAAAAUGCACAGGUGGAGUACGGAGGUUCAAACUUGAAGUCUGGCAUUUGAGCUGAGUUCAGAAGGGCAGCUGAAGUAGUGUUCUUGGAGAUGGGCUAGGGGUAAGGAUUGUUUUCCAGAGGGGAAGUAAGGGGAUGUGUUUGGAAAGGUAGCCUGGCACCAAAUUCAUUUAGUUUGGAUUAAGUCUGCGUCUGGGCUUAAACCCAUAGGUAGUCAGGAACCAGGAAA
rnacentral:sRNA from 1 species